AUGGGCGUUCUGCUCCACCUGGGACGUGGUGUGGCAGUGGCUCAGGUUACAGGGCUGGCAGGGUGCCCGCAGCAGGCGGCCCAGGGACACACGUGUCCCCUCUCCCUGCACGUCCUACAGCACAGGGACACCCCUCGGCAGUGCCAACAGGGGACCCUUGGGAGCCGUCCGAGUUUCCUUGGUGACUGUUGCCAGGUGAGAAACUCUAAGGCAGAAUUUCUUAUCUUGGAGAACGGGAGAUGUUCCUCACUGGGGCUGUUACUGGACCCAGAGCUGGCACUGUGCUCGGCCAGACACCUCGCUGGGAGCAGUGACAGUGGCGACAGUGGGGUCCCCGAGGGCAAGCUGUGCACAGGGUGCUGGGGCUGUGUGGCCUCUGGGAUCACUGCCUGCAGGGCAGCACGUGGCGUGGGGCUAUUUCUGCCCAUUGGAGAGCAGCAGGCAAGGGAAGGAGGUGACACUACAGAGACCACGGAGAAGUGUGGAGGGACACGGGCUGUGCUGUCACGGCUUCAUGGACCCCCAUCACCUGGUGGGACUGCAACUGGAGGGCCAUGCUUUCAAAAUGUGCAAGUAUCCAAAGCAGGCAGCUCCAUUUUCUUGUGGAAGCAAUGCUCUCUCUGGUCUGCAGUGAGACCCUGUCUGUGCUCACUCAGCUCCAUGCAGUGCCCUGGGCUGCAGUCAGACCUGAGGCAGACCCCAGUUUUCUCCCUGCAGGAGAGUGAGGCUGUGGGAGGAAAAAGAGCAGCAAAAGCGGUUGCAUGAAACUGCAAAGCAAAUGGAAAAAAAAAAAUGUUUUCUCAACCAGAAACUAUUCCACAGACUGACGGGGCAGAAAAAAAAUUACAGCUGUUAUUGAGAACGCACUGCAGAAUCCAAACAGUUUAAGAUGGGAAAGCAAGUCAUUUGCAAAGCUAUUUCCAAACUAAGUAAAAAGUUCCUGGCUCCAAAUUCCUCCGAGCCCCACCAGCUGCUGGCUGUGGCUGCUGUGAGGGCAGGGAGCACACACGGGUCGCUGCUCCUGCUUGCAGCACAUGGCUGGGAGAUGCUGGGGAACUGCAUUCAGUACGUGGGGCUGCUGGGAGCCACGUACCCGAUGCUCUGCGCAGCACUGGAUGGGGGUUUGUUUCUUUGUGCAAACUGAGGAGCACUACUGAGGUUGGUGAUCCGGAAGGGCAGCGGUGGGGAGCAGCUGUCUUGCUGCUGUGCUCAGGGCUAUAUUUGGGAAUCCAGCAGCUUGGCGUGUCCCAGCUUGGGAAGCAGUGUGUCCCAGGGUCCUAGUGCGAUGGCAGGGAGGAAAGGAGAGAAAACACGCUGGGAGCGUGUGAGCAGCUCUCCUGCAUCUGGGUGGGCUCUUUAAGGGCUCCUGCACACUGUUCCCUGACAGCCCCAGCUUCUUCCUGCUCUCCUUUUAGAGCAGCAGAGCUGCUGGACAGGCGUGUGUCAGGGAGCUGUGCCUAUUUUCAGGGCUGGAGCCCUGCAGGAGGCUGCUCCCACCACUAUCUAUAGCCUGGCUGCUGCACAAGUGCCCUCCCUCAGCCACGUGCAGGGAGCAGCUGCACAAUCCCAAAUUUCACAUGGCUGGUGGGCACUGUUGCUCCAUCCCUGCGUUCACAGCACAUUGUGGGAUUAACAAAAUAAUGAAAUCUAGGAUUAAGAACAUCAUGAGGUCAGGUUAUUCUCCUGGAAAAGUCACUGAAAACAGGAAAGUGACAUUUUCUAGGACUUGGAGACAUUGCCUCGGACACCCCUGGGUGUUGGGAGA
ensembl:lncRNA